AAUCAAAUUGAGAAACAAAUGUAUAGCAAGCUAGCCAGAUUCAGUCUAUUUUCUAACUGUGACUUCUAUAUUAUAUCAUAGCCCGAAGCUAGUGCUAGCAAGUUUAAUUCAAAUAUUGGCGUUAGCUAGUUAGCUACUGUACGUUUGGCGACGUUACUGUGCAAAUUCAAUUCGAUUGGUUUCGGGCACGAAUAUUAAAACUGAAAUCAGCUUAAGAAAUGUAUAGAUAAAAUGUUUUCGGCAAUAAGAUGGUUAGUGUGUAAGAAUUAAGAGAGCAGUUCUGCCUGCUCUCCCCUCUACUAUUUCCUGUACCGAGACUGGCUAUCUGACAAGUGGUCGGCAGAACCACCUGCUGCACCCAUCUGCUCUCUAUCCCCCAGGACAGGAGGACGGGGAGAAAUAGAAAAUCAGCCUUACCCUACUUCUGCCACCCAAUUCAUAUUCAGGAUGCCCCUCCCCAUAUAACCUACUAUGUCGCCUGUGGACAUCCUCUCUGCAGCAUAAUGUCUUGUGCAGCCUACUUAGAUGGCAACGCAACGCCAAAGUCCAUGAGCAGAGCCAAACAAUGGACUGACGAGGUGGAGAACUUAUACAGAUUCCAACAGGCAGGCUACAGAGAUGAACUGGAAUACAAACAAGUAAAGCAAGUUGACUUGAUCGACAGGUGGCCUGAGACUGGGUUUGUGAAGAAGCUUCAGC